GAUGAACGCUGGCGGCGUGCCUAAUACAUGCAAGUCGAGCGAACAGACGAGGAGCUUGCUCCUUCGACGUUAGCGGCGGACGGGUGAGUAACACGUAGGUAACCUACCUAUAAGACUGGGAUAACUUCGGGAAACCGGAGCUAAUACCGGAUAAUAUUUCGAACCGCAUGGUUCGAUAGUGAAAGAUGGCUUUGCUAUCACUUAUAGAUGGACCUGCGCCGUAUUAGCUAGUUGGUAAGGUAACGGCUUACCAAGUCAACGAUACGUAGCCGACCUGAGAGGGUGAUCGGCCACACUGGAACUGAGACACGGUCCAGACUCCUACGGGAGGCAGCAGUAGGGAAUCUUCCGCAAUGGGCGAAAGCCUGACGGAGCAACGCCGCGUGAGUGAUGAAGGUCUUCGGAUCGUAAAACUCUGUUAUUAGGGAAGAACAAACGUGUAAGUAACUGUGCACGUCUUGACGGUACCUAAUCAGAAAGCCACGGCUAACUACGUG
rnacentral:rRNA from 1 species